UACGUAGGGUGCGAGCGUUGUCCGGAAUUAUUGGGCGUAAGGAGCUCGUAGGCGGUGUGUCGCGUCGGCCGUGAAAACCUGCAGCUUAACUGUGGGCUUGCGGUCGAUACGGGCAUCACUGGAGUUCGGCAGGGGAGACUGGAAUUCCUGGUGUAGCGGUGAAAUGCGCAGAUAUCAGGAGGAACACCGGUGGCGAAGGCGGGUCUCUGGGCCGAUACUGACGCUGAGGAGCGAAAGCGUGGGGAGCGAACAGG
rnacentral:rRNA from 1 species